AUGGGCAUUUGUGGAGCAGGUCAGGCAGCGUUGAUAAAGCGAACUGAAGCUCAUCUGACAUUUCAGUACCAAAUGCUUGUGUACUUAUGCUGGGAUGUACUUUGUCACUGCAUCUGUUCAGGUGACGCAUCCAGCGGUCGUAGUGCAGGAACAAAGGAGUUGGCUCCUGCUCGUCGCCCCGUCCCUCCUCAUCACCUCCCUCCUCCACAGGUCGUUCGAGGCUCAGCUCACAGGUCGUGUAUCGAACCUCUGACCCUGGCGACCAUGCUGCUUGUUCUGCUGUCGCCGUGGCAACACCGCUGAUGGCGGAGAUACGGCCUUACAGAGACAAAAAGACUAAGAGGCAACCACAAACGUUUGGUGGUGAAGUUGAGAAUUUGUAAUUCCUUUAAGUACAGGUCUACCACUCUGAUUGUUUUUGUUUUGGGUGGGUUGGGUGGGGAUGUUACCUGGACUGACCUCCACAUGUGGUUGUUUAUGUGAAUUUAACUCUGAUAGGAUAGACUGCACAGCACUACUAACUUUUUUUUGAAGAGAGAUGUAAAUACAAAUAUAUAUAUUAUAUAUUUAUAUAAAGAUUUUUGAUAGAUAACAAUGGCUUGAUGUGUGAAUAGACAAUAAUAUAGAAGACAGCGGAAUGACUUACAUGGUUAGCGUUGUUUUGUUUUGUUUGACCUUUACAAUGGACUUUCCCCACAGAGACUGAGAUCCAUGACAGCUGUAGGUCAAGUUGAAGACUUUCAAUGUAACCGCAGUUUACUUACAGUGAAGUGAAGACCUGUAUUCAUUUUGAAGAGAACUUUGGCCAAAACAAAACUUUUACAGCAUAAUGAAGAAUUUGAGCCUUUGGCCUGUAAGUCUCCACAGAUUGAAGCACUUGAUCAACAUCUUUAAUCUCCCCAAAAUGAUUCUUUAGUAGCAGAGAUCUCUCCUACGAAACAGAAGACACAAUCAUCUGUCUGGACAUCUAAAAAUAGCAAUUUCAUCUAAAUCAACUUUUAUCUGGGGAGUGAGACCAAAUGCUUGCUGGCACAAUACUUUUACACCAUAAUAUGUUAAAGAAGUUGGCUAUUAUUUGAUUCAUAUUCAUCACAUGUCGGACCCAGAUGGGUUUUUGUUUUUGUAUUUAAGGAACCUCACCCAGCUAUUGCUCGGCAAUAUACAUAAACAAGACACCAACUCAUACCAAUGUGCAUAGUGUAGAAAUAAGUGAAUAUAGAAAAUUGUUCCCUAACACGGCGAAAUACAAGGAUGGGCUAUAUUUUUGAAACGGCAAAAAAAUAAUAUAUGGCUAUAAAUUUACAAAACAUUUAAUAAUGAACAUAUAAUUUGCAGCAUAUUGUUAUUUCAUGGAGGGAUGCUCAGAAUUCAACUAAAUGUGCUAUAUCAGUUUAACAUUUACAUUUGUGUAGAAAUUUUAAUGUUGUUGUAGCAGGAAGCCAGAACACCAGGAUGAAACAAACAGCCAGUUAGCAGUUAGCUGUUUCUCUUUCCAAGUUCUGAAAAACAUCUCUAGUAAUAUCAUUUGACUUAACCAGUGACAUUUUAGUGAAACGUAACGAAACCUGCUCUAAUAUAUUGUCCUGCUACUCUGUUUUGUUGUUAAUCUCCAGCAUAAUAUUAUAAUAAAUUAAAUGUUUUCAAAUACGUACUGAGUUUUGUCUUCUAUAUGUUGUGUAACUGUCUAGGUGUAAGAUGCGCCACAAAUGGGACAGAAAUGAUAAAUAAUAACAAGGAUAAUAUCAAACGUCUUGCAUUGAAAAUGUGUACUUCAUAGAGUAGAUGGAUAGACAAAAUAUGAUAUGUCUGUGGUCCUCUAUCUACACUACCUGCAUGUAGAGUUUCUAGUCUGAUUAAAAUGAAGAUGUGUGGCUCAAAAUGUAUCUAACAAAUGAUUAAUUAAAUACUUAAUUUGGAAACUUAUUUGGGUAUUUUAUGAUCAUCGCAUCCCCCACUUCUGGGGUGCUAAAGUGGGCUCAAGCAUAAGGCACGCUUGUUGCCAUCAGAGCCUUCGGGAACGCAGCUGCAGCUCUUUGGCCUCUGGCCUCUUGAGCGAUUACUGUGAUUGGAUUGGCAUGGUUAGGAAGUUGGCAUAGUGUGCUCGGUUAAUGGAGGGAAACUGCCAGGGGAUGAUGGAAAAUGAAGACCUCAUUGAAUGCAAAUUUCUGCAGAGAGAAAGACAGAGAGAGAGAGAGAGAGAGAGAGAGAGAGAGAGAGAGAAAGAGAGUAUGAUGAGAAAGACUUUGAGAAGGAGCGUUCCCAUUACUCAUCCUAAUGUCGGCACAAUCUUGUGCCAUCCAAACAAUCUGUUUCACUGUAAAAACGUUAUUUCAAGAUGUACUUAAGUGCAAUAUGUUUAAUCUUUUUGUGCAUUGUUUCUUGGUUUAUCUUUGUGCUGUGCUUCUUGGAUUAACAAAGACCCGGAAGCUUAACUGCACGGGAGGUGGAUUUAUGCAAACGAGGCCCACGAGUCAGUGUGCUCGUCACA
ensembl:lncRNA